rnacentral:rRNA from 1 species
GACGAACGCUGGCGGCGUGCUUAACACAUGCAAGUCGAACGGAAAGGCCCUGCUUUUGUGGGGUGCUCGAGUGGCGAACGGGUGAGUAACACGUGAGUAACCUGCCCUUGACUUUGGGAUAACUUCAGGAAACUGGGGCUAAUACCGGAUAGGAGCUCCUGCUGCAUGGUGGGGGUUGGAAAGUUUCGGCGGUUGGGGAUGGACUCGCGGCUUAUCAGCUUGUUGGUGGGGUAGUGGCUUACCAAGGCUUUGACGGGUAGCCGGCCUGAGAGGGUGACCGGCCACAUUGGGACUGAGAUACGGCCCAGACUCCUACGGGAGGCAGCAGUGGGGAAUAUUGCACAAUGGGCGGAAGCCUGAUGCAGCAACGCCGCGUGCGGGAUGACGGCCUUCGGGUUGUAAACCGCUUUUGCCUGUGACUAAGCGUGAGUGACGGUAAUGGGUAAAGAAGCACCGGCUAACUACGUG